CAUUAAAGAGUUCUAUAACUCCCAAACCCAUGUGAACAUACCUAACGUUGCCUCGGCAGGUCGCACCUACCUUGUAGCACCCUACCCUGUAGGGCCUACCCGGGAGGUGCGGGUAAGCCUGCCGGCGGCCCACCAAACUCUGUUUGAUAUUGAAUUCUGAACCUAUAACUAAAUAAGUUAAAACUUUCAACAACGGAUCUCUUGGUUCUGGCAUCGAUGAAGAACGCAGCGAAAUGCGAUAAGUAAUGUGAAUUGCAGAAUUCAGUGAAUCAUCGAAUCUUUGAACGCAUAUUGCGCCCAUUAGUAUUCUAGUGGGCAGGACCGUUCGAGCGUCAUUUCAACCCUUAAGCCUUCGUUGCUUAGUGUUGGGAGCCUACGGCAACGUAGCUCCUCAAAGUUAGUGGCGGAGUUGGUUCACACUCUAGACGUAGUAAUUUUUUAUCUCGCCUAUUAGUUGGACUAAUCCCCUGCCGUAAAACCCCCAAUUUAUAUCAAGGUUGACCUCGAAUCGGUUCAGACAAACUCGCUAAAUUGAAGCAUCUUAGUCAGCGAAGGAAAAGAAACCAACAGGGAUUGCCCUAGUAACGGCGAGUGAAGCGGCAACAGCUCAAAUUUGAAAUCUGGCCCUCGGGUCCGAGUUGUAAUUUGUAGAGGAUGCUUUUGGCGCGGUGCCUUCCGAGUUCCCUGGAACGGGACGCCUUAGAGGGUGAGAGCCCCGUACGGUUGGACACCAAGCCUCUGUAAAGCUCCUUCGACGAGUCGAGUAGCUUGGGAAUGCUGCUCUAAAUGGGAGGUAAAUUUCUUCUAAAGCUAAAUAUUGGCCAGAGACCGAUAGCGCACAAGUAGAGUGAUCGAAAGA
rnacentral:rRNA from 1 species